rnacentral:rRNA from 1 species
GACGAACGCUGGCGGCGUGCCUAAUACAUGCAAGUAGAACGCUGAAGGAGGAGCUUGCUUCUCUGGAUGAGUUGCGAACGGGUGAGUAACGCGUAGGUAACCUGCCUGGUAGCGGGGGAUAACUAUUGGAAACGAUAGCUAAUACCGCAUAAGAGUAGAUGUUGCAUGACAUUUACUUAAAAGGUGCAAUUGCAUCACUACCAGAUGGACCUGCGUUGUAUUAGCUAGUUGGUGAGGUAACGGCUCACCAAGGCAACGAUACAUAGCAGAACUGAGAGGGUGAUCGGACACACAAAGACAGAGAAACGGCCCAGACUCCUACAGGAGGCAGCAGUAGGGAAUCUUCGGAAAUGGACGGAAGUCUGACAGAGCAACGCCGCAUGAGUGAAGAAGGUAUGCGGAUCAUAAAGCUCUGUUGUAAGAGAAGAACGAGUGUGAGAGUGGAAAGUUCACAAUGUGACGGAAUCUUACAAGAAAGGGACGGAUAACUACGUGC